GUACGUUUGAAGGGUUACUUCAUAUGGUCAUUUUUUGAUAAUUUUGAAUGGACCCAAGGGUACAAUGUUAGAUUUGGAGUUUAUCAUGUAGACUUCACGAAUGGAAAGUUGGAAAGACACCCUAAAAGAUCAGCUAACCGGUGGAAUGAUUUCCUGAGCAAGUCAAAGGACUCCAUGGCUGCAGGAUAUCAAAACUUAACAAAAACGACACAGUCCUGCGAAAAGGCCAAAAUGCAACGACGUGUGUAAAUUAACAAUUACUCCUUACUUUAACUUAUUUAAAAAUGUUGUGUGGAAUAAUGCAAGCAUGGAUGCGUGACGUACCUUUAGUUUCGUCCUUUAUUCUCUUGUGGGAAGAGAAAUAAAAGUAAUGUUCCAAGU
rnacentral:lncRNA from 1 species